rnacentral:miRNA from 1 species
ACUAGACUUAAUAAAUGGACUCUCUCACAGAUGUGGAGUAUACUCUGCUUAUGGAUGGAAGUAGCUUUUUAAGGAAUGGAAUCCAAGGGCUGGUGGGAUGGCUCA